CUCCGCCCCCUAGGGAGACUCCCACCCGCUGAAGCUAGCUCACUGGCUGCCCGGGCUGACUAUCCCACCGAAGGGCGGGGCCUCGAGUCCGGACCUCUACCACGGCCGCCUCUGUUUAUGCGCUCACUAUUGGCCCCAGGGACUGCCAGUCGGCUCUAGGGUGGACGCCAACUUGAGGUCUCAUCCUCACUCUGCAUCUAUUGGCAAAUAGAAAGUUUCUCCCUCAUGAUUGGACAGGGGGCUGUCAGUAGGACUAAGGAAAAAGCCAAUGGAACAGGUGGGGCGUGUCUUGCCCCACCCUAGCCCUGAGCAGGUCUUCCUGGAAGAGGCAGGACCACAGCAGCAUCCCAGAUCUAGUUGCAACUGCCCAUGCCAGGUUGCCAGGACCACUCCCCUUUGCUGUUUCCCUGACUCCCAACCCCUCCAACCUACCUGGGGAUCUUUAUCUCUACCUAAUCCCCGCCCCCCACCUGCCUACUUGCCAUCCUCCACGUAAGGCAGUGAUCAGCCCAGCAUUUAGGAAGAGCUCGCCACCCCAAGCUGCUGCCUCUGCCAGAGUUCCACCCUCUGCUCAUUCUGCCCACCCAGUCACACACCGCUUCUCUAAGCCCCUGCAGGUUUCUCCGUCGCCUUUCUCCUCAUCGCAGCCAACCUACACCAAGGGGAAGGCUGUAAAGAGGGAUGUAGUAGCCUCGGUGGAACGGAGGGAAGGAUUGGGACUUCCGAAUAAACUCUUCCUGUCCCCAGAA